ACACAAAUUUUCAUAAAAAUCCUUAUGGGGGAGGCCAUCACUCUUGAGGUUGAAUCCUUGGAUAAAACAGAAAAUAUAAAGGCCAACAUCCAGGAUAAGAAAGGAAUUCCUCCUGACCAAUAAAGACUGAUCUUUGCUGGCAAGCAACUAGAAGGUAGAUGUGCUUUGUCUGACUACAGCAUUCAAAAGGAGUCCACUCUUCAUCUUG
rnacentral:lncRNA from 1 species